AUCAAGUGUUCCCAUGAAGAGAGUGGAAGUGGAACCACGAGGGUGAUGGAGAAGGAAAUGACAGAACAAAGAAAAAGACAGAAGCAGAAAACAGCCUUUUCCCGUCUCUUCUGAAUCGCGUUUCUGUUUGAUACCGAGCCCACACAGCUCUCCCCAGACUCCCAGUCUGUCCUCGGGCUGUGCUUUCACUCCUGCAGACCCACUCUGGCCUUUGAUCUACAUAUGCACACUGUCAUAUAUCUCUGCCCUGCUGCAUCAGCCCCUCUCCCUGCACACCGGGUGUAUGGUAAGUAGAUUGAUGAAGGGGUCUUAUGGUGAUUUAUCGCUGCUAAUCAACGCGGGGGGAAAAAUUCAGGUCUGUUAUGUAACAUUCAUGAGGGGUGAGGUUUUCCCAUUGUGUUUAUCCGGGGUGUGAGAAUACUCUACACAGAAAUGCAGCUGAAUAAGGAUCUCUACAUGAGCUUCAACUUGAUAAUCGUCUUGGGUUUCUAUUUUCUGUGCCUCUGUUUUGGUCUAUUUCUAAGCUACAGAUGAAAUCAAACCAGUGGAUGUAUAACAAACAGACCCCAGUACGCUGUCGUCUGAGAGGAGGUUCAGCACGGACAAGUAUCUUCCUCAUUUCACCGUGAACUAGACUUUGCUCGGCGGUGUCCUUUCAGCUUCCCAGGGACUCUUGGGGGGCUCAGACAGCUGCCACUCAGCGCUCGGCAGCCACAGGACUGCGACCUUGAGCGCCAUAACACAGCUGAGUGCCCAACAGCAUGUACCAGACAGAAAUGUCAGCGUCUAAUGGCAGGAGAACAUUUUCAGAGCCUCGUUUAAAGAGGAAGCUGCUCGGUCGGGGGGGAAAAAUAAUCAC